rnacentral:rRNA from 1 species
GACGAACGCUGGCGGCGUGCCUAAUACAUGCAAGUAGAACGCUGAAGGAGGAGCUUGCUUCUCUGGAUGAGUUGCGAACGGGUGAGUAACGCGUAGGUAACCUGCCUGGUAGCGGGGGAUAACUAUUGGAAACGAUAGCUAAUACCGCAUAAUAGCAGUUGUUGCAUGACAACUGUUUGAAAGGUGCAAUUGCACCACUACCAGAUGGACCUGCGUUGUAUUAGCUAGUUGGUGGGGUAACGGCUCACCAAGGCGACGAUACAUAGCCGACCUGAGAGGGUGAUCGGCCACACUGGGACUGAGACACGGCCCAGACUCCUACGGGAGGCAGCAGUAGGGAAUCUUCGGCAAUGGACGGAAGUCUGACCGAGCAACGCCGCGUGAGUGAAGAAGGUUUUCGGAUCGUAAAGCUCUGUUGUAAGAGAAGAACGAGUGUGAGAGUGGAAAGUUCACACUGUGACGGUAUUUUACCAGAAAGGGACGGCUAACUACGUG